rnacentral:lncRNA from 1 species
AUGAACUACUAAACUCAGUGGAGGGAAUAUCGAAUCCAAUGUCCCAGUGUCCUGUCGUUACAACUUUAAAAUGUUAUAGGCAUUUACAUUCCUAAAACUUCUAUGAUACACCCAACAAUCAGAUUAACAUGUCAAAACAUAUGAUGUAAAACUCCUUUAUUCAACCAGUUAAUACACUUUGUUAAUCUCAACCUUCCACAUAUCAAUGAGCAUUGGAAAAAAUACCUGGAAUUUGCAAAUAAGAAAGAAGGAGGAGAAUCAGCAGCACUAAUACAACAGAUUCAAUAGCAGCAAAUCAGGAAUCCCAGCAGUAAAACACCAGUGAACAUACCCAAAUUUGACUGAAUAAACCAGUUCCAACUUGAAUUCGACCAAAAGGCUCAAAUAUACCCAAACUGACUCAAAUUAGAAUCGAAUAAACCCAGAAACUACCAUAAGUGACCAGUAAACCUUAGGAACAAAACUCAGCAGCCAUAAACACCUAGAAUAACUUGGAGGAAAUUAGAAAUGGCCCUAACCUCAAAUACAGAAGCCUAGAGAUUCAGAUUUCUCUGAAAUCUCAAUGAAACAGUAACUAUUGUUGGUGUUUUCUGUUGUUUUCUACCCUUUUUCGGUUUUUGAAUGCUUGCAAUUUGAAUUUCAAAAUUCAGAUUAAAAACUUGAGGGAAAUUUCAGAUCUGUGAUGUUUUGGGGGAAUUUUCAG